UACGGGGGGAGCAAGCGUUGUUCGGAUUUACUGGGCGUAAAGGGCGCGUAGGCGGUCAGCACAAGUCAGUUGUGAAAUCUCCGGGCUUAACUCGGAAAGGUCAACUGAUACUGUGCGACUAGAGUGCGGAAGGGGCAACUGGAAUUCUCGGUGUAGCGGUGAAAUGCGUAGAUAUCGAGAGGAACACCUGCGGCGAAGGCAGUGUUCUGGGCCAGUACUGACGCUGAGGAGCGAAGCGUGGGGAGCGAACAGG
rnacentral:rRNA from 1 species